GACGAACGCUGGCGGCGUGCCUAAUACAUGCAAGUAGAACGCUGAAGAGAGGAGCUUGCUCUUCUUGGAUGAGUUGCGAACGGGUGAGUAACGCGUAGGUAACCUGCCUUGUAGCGGGGGAUAACUAUUGGAACCGAUAGCUAAUACCGCAUAACAAUGGAUGACACAUGUCAUUUAUUUGAAAGGGGCAAUUGCUCCACUACAAGAUGGACCUGCGUUGUAUUAGCUAGUAGGUGAGGUAAUGGCUCACCUAGGCGACGAUACAUAGCCGACCUGAGAGGGUGAUCGGCCACACUGGGACUGGGACACGGCCCAGACUCCUACGGGAGGCAGCAGUAGGGAAUCUUCGGCAAUGGGGGCAACCCUGACCGAGCAACGCCGCGUGAGUGAAGAAGGUUUUCGGAUCGUAAAGCUCUGUUGUAAGUCAAGAACGGGUGUGAGAGUGGAAAGUUCACACUGUGACGGUAGCUUACCAGAAAGGGACGGCUAACUACGUG
rnacentral:rRNA from 1 species